GACGAACGCUGGCGGCGUGCUUAACACAUGCAAGUCGAACGGAAAGGCCUGCUUUCCCUUGUGGAUUGCGGGUACUCGAGUGGCGAACGGGUGAGUAACACGUGAGUGAUCUGCCCCCAACUUGGGUAUAAGCCUGGGAAACUGGGUCUAAUUCCCGAUAGGACUGCAGGGUGGUGCCUGUGGUGGAAAACGAUUUUCUAGUGGUGGGGGAUGAGCUCGCGGCCUAUCAGCUUGUUGGUGGGGUAAUGGCCUACCAAGGCGGCGACUGGUAGCCGGCCUGAGAGGGUGGACGGCCAAAUUGAGACUGGGAUACGGCCCAGACUCCUACGGGAGGCAGCAGUUGGGAAUAUUGCACAAUGAGCGGAAGCCUGAUGCAGCGACGCCGCGUGGGAGAUGACGGCCUUCGGGUUGUAAACUCCUUUCGACCGCGAGGAAGCCACCUGGUUGGAAGGGUGGUGACGGUAGUGGGAGAAGAAGCACCGGCUAACUACGUG
rnacentral:rRNA from 1 species